UUAAACUCAAGCUUUGCAGAGCUUGAGUUUAAUUGCCAUAGCUCUUAAUAGCUUCUUGCCCUUGAACCCUGACCUGGACUUCUCUGUGUUGCAGGUGAAAUAGAACUGGCAGAUGAAAAUGGCCAAGUGAAGAAUUUGCUCCAGAAUCAGGACCAGUACGCAUCACAGCUCCUGAGUGAGAGGGAGUUUUGUAUUUUACUCAAAGUCACACGACAUGAAGGCUCCCAAGAAGCUGUUUUUACACCACUGCUGAAAGAUCACAGCAUUGUCACUCCAAAGUUCCUGGCUAAAUUGGGGAAGAGGGAAGAUUCAAAAGUAUCACCUACCAGAGUGAAAUCCAGAAAAUAUGGCAAACAAGCAACCUUGCCUUUGGAGGUUCCACCCACAGAAGGUAAAAGGAGUCAUUCACCACAGGGCAACAAGAAUAAAACCGUGGCUUCCUCUUCCAAAGAAACUGGGACAUUCUAAUCAUGGCAAAUCAAAGGAGUUGCUUGGUACUGAGUUUUGGAGGCCAUCUCUAGGCAUGUUAGUGUAUUCCUUCAUGAAACACACAAUUUGUUGGCUUUUUUUCCAAAAGCGUACAGUAGUAAAUGCCUUGUUUCUUUGAGAAAAGAAUAGUCUCACUGAAAUAGUGGAUCAGUGAGUCACUUUGAAGCCGGGUACAUGUUUAAUAAGUAUGCCAAAUGAAGCCUUGGUUCUUGCAGACACUGCGCUGUUGUUGAAUCACGGAAAUUGGCAGAAGGACAAGCUGCAACACCGGGUUGGUUCAUCUUUAACUCAGUAGUUUUACUUUUGGAAUUAUUGAAGUAGUCAAUUAACACAUCCAUAGUACUUUCAUCUCAACUUUUACCUGACCAACUUCUUUAAAUAACUUUGUAGCUCCUCGGGUGGGUCAUAUCUUACAUGGACUGGACCCUGGUCCAUCUUUCACAUACCUGUUGAAUCAUCAGUCCUCCUGAUUUGUUGUGCUAAGUAUUUGUAUAUAUACAGCACAAUGAGGAACGUGUUAAAACUGCAUAUAAAGUUUUAGAUAAUCUUGUAAAAGCUAUAGAUGAGUCUUUCUUCUUCAAGGUUCCUCUUAAAAAAAAAAAAAAGGGCUGUAAAAUCUAAUCAGUGAGAACAUGACUUUUCUCUGUACAACACCCAGUGAUACAUUGAUCUCAGACAAAUGCACAAACAAUUUUGAAGUUGCAGCACUUUUGUUGUUGAAAAUAUUUUGAAUUAAACAAAGAGAACUCCAAAAUGUAUUUUUUAACAGUGGCCCCCAAACAAGGAGAGAGCUGUUGGGACUUUCCAGUAAGAUAUUCCCUACAUGCUGGUGAUUGUACAGUGACGUUCAUCUGUGUCUGUUUAUGGGAGAACUCUGUGACAAUCUUGAAUCUGUGACAACCUUGGCUGUAUUUAUCUGUUCCUGUCACAGGAAAGUAGUAUCCGUAUUUUCUACAAGGAACUGAUGCUCAGGGGAAGAUCUCAGUCAUCCAGCAAUUCAAAUUCCUGCUGCUGUCUUGGGAAUUAAAAGCAGCAACUAAUUUCUGUUAAAAUCAAGGAGGAAAUCUGUGGUGAUGGAGAUGCUGUUUUUCUGCUUCAAAUGUGUUCUGUAUAACGCCUAUUCUAUGUGUGUCAUUGGUUCUGAUGUAUUUUGAUACAUGCCUGGAAUCCAGUUAGCAUCUCUUUUCUGUGGAUUUGAAGAAGUAUUAAGACACAUAAUAUUUUGAUGAUACAGAAACAGUCCCCAUAGAUGAUGUCACCAACUUGCUGUGUUGCAAAAGGCAUGAAGCAAUGGAGCUCCAAAAUGAGAUCGUGCUGAUACCUGGGAAGUGCAGAACUAGUGUCUGCUUUGGAUAUGUAGGGAUCUAAAAUCUGCUGGGACAUGGCAAUCUCCCCCUCACCCAUCUGUCAGGCAGUGUAAGUUCUGACAAAUCAAAGCCCAGAAUAGCAGAAAACAUGCACUGUUCUCUGUGAGAAAUCUGCUGCAGCCCAUCGCUCCUACACCUCUGAGCAAUAAAGCAAACAACUCUAUAGUUCCA
rnacentral:lncRNA from 1 species